rnacentral:rRNA from 1 species
UGGGGAAUAUUGCACAAUGGGCGCAAGCCUGAUGCAGCCAUGCCGCGUGUAUGAAGAAGGCCUUCGGGUUGUAAAGUACUUUCAUCGGGGCGGAAGGGAGUAAAGUUAAUACCUUUGCUCAUUGUCGUUACCCGCAGAAGAAGCCCCGGCUAACUCCGUGCCAGCAGCCGCGGUAAUACGGAGGGUGCAAGCGUUAAUCGGAAUUACUGGGCGUAAAGCGCACGCAGGCGGUUUGUUAAGUCAGAUGUGAAAUCCCCGGGCUCAACCUGGGAACUGCAUCUGAUACUGGCAAGCUUGAGUCUCGUAGAGAGGGGUAGAAUUCCAGGUGUAGCGGUGAAAUGCGUAGAGAUCUGGAGGAAUACCGGUGGCGAAGGCGGCCCCCUGGACGAAGACUGACGCUCAGGUGCGAAAGCGUGGGGAGCAAACAGG